GGACGGCCACCAUGCAGGCCCCGGACGAUGGCGAGGGCGGCGCAGGGACGCCCAAUGGUCCUGGAGGCUGCUCAGGCCUUGGCGGCUGGGAGGGUGAAGGAGAGGAGGGCGCUGUGGCCGGUGCAGCUCCCCAGGUCCAAGGGGCCUCGCUUGCCCCUGCGCCGGGUGCAGAGGCCUCUUCCCCUGGUGCGACCCCUGGAAGCCCGCCGCUGGAGUUCGCCCUAACGGUGCCCUUCCUGUCCUACACGGAUGCGGAGGUGGCUCGCAGGUACCUGUGCGCAGGUGCUGACCUCUACCACGGGGCUGUGCAGAGGGAGCUCACAGUGAUUGGCAGUGACCUGGUUAUCCGAUUAACGUCUGAAGACUCCGGCCUCCUGCAAAUCUCCACUGCCUCCUUGCUCAGCAGGCUUUCCGUCGUGGUGCAGACCAUGCAGCACUUCGUGCCUCCGGUGUUUGUUAAGCCUCGGCCUGGAAAGGGGGGUUGAGGCCACAAGAGUACCCUGUCCUAGGCAGCGCGUCCUUCCCUAGGACCGUGAUUUUCGCACCAGUGGCCACUUUAUUGGAGGGCCCGACUGUCUGCCUGCACCAGCCCUUGGCCACUCUCUACCCCCGUGGCUUGGCUUGCUGCCUAGGUACUGCUUACCGCGGAUAAUAAAACGGAGUUUCUUUGCGGC
rnacentral:lncRNA from 9 species